rnacentral:rRNA from 1 species
AUUGAACGCUGGCGGCAGGCCUAACACAUGCAAGUCGAGCGGAUGAAGGGAGCUUGCUCCUGGAUUCAGCGGCGGACGGGUGAGUAAUGCCUAGGAAUCUGCCUGGUAGUGGGGGAUAACGUCCGGAAACGGGCGCUAAUACCGCAUACGUCCUGAGGGAGAAAGUGGGGGAUCUUCGGACCUCACGCUAUCAGAUGAGCCUAGGUCGGAUUAGCUAGUUGGUGGGGUAAAGGCCUACCAAGGCGACGAUCCGUAACUGGUCUGAGAGGAUGACCAGUCACACUGGAACUGAGACACGGUCCAGACUCCUACGGGAGGCAGCAGUGGGGAAUAUUGGACAAUGGGCGAAAGCCUGAUCCAGCCAUGCCGCGUGUGUGAAGAAGGUCUUCGGAUUGUAAAGCACUUUAAGUUGGGAGGAAGGGCAGUAAGUUAAUACCUGGCUGUAUUGACGGUACCAACAGAAUAAGCACCGGCUAACUUCGUG